rnacentral:rRNA from 1 species
ACGAGGGGGGCAAGCGUUGUUCGGAAUUAUUGGGCGUAAAGGGUGCGUAGGCGGUUUGACAAGUCUUAUGUGAAAUCUUCGGGCUCAACCCGAAGUCUGCAUGGGAAACUGUCGGGCUUGAGUAUGGGAGAGGUGAGUGGAAUUUCCGGUGUAGCGGUGAAAUGCGUAGAUAUCGGAAGGAACACCUGUGGCGAAAGCGGCUCACUGGACCAUAACUGACGCUGAUGCACGAAAGCUAGGGGAGCAAACAGGAUUAGAUACCCUGGUAGUCCUAGCCCUAAACGAUGAUUGUUUGAUGUGGGGGGUACCCAAUCCCCCCGUGUCGAAGCUAACGCGAUAAACAAUCCGCCUGGGGAGUACGGUCGCAAGGCUG